rnacentral:rRNA from 1 species
AUUGAACGCUGGCGGCAGGCCUAACACAUGCAAGUCGAACGAGUGGCGGACGGGUGAGUAAUGUCUGGGAAACUGCCCGAUGGAGGGGGAUAACUACUGGAAACGGUAGCUAAUACCGCAUACCCUCGGAUGUGCCCAGAUGGGAUUAGCUUGGAGGUGAGGUAACGGCUCACCUAGGCGACGAUCCCUAGCUGGUCUGAGAGGAUGACCAGCACAACGGGAACUGAGACCGGGUGCAGACUCCUACGGGAGGGAGCAGGGGGGAAUAUGGCACGAGGGUCGCAAGCCUGAGGCAGCCAUGCCGCGUGUAUGAAGAAGGCCUUCGGGUUGUAAAGUACUUUCAGCGGGGAGGCGUUACCCGCAGAAGAAGCACCGGCUAACUCCGUGCCAGCAGCCGCGGUAAUUC